ensembl:lncRNA
AAGAAAUUGAAACGUAUGAUCCUUGUCAGUGGUCACAGGGAGCCUGGAGUCUAUUCCAGGGAGCUCAGCAUAGCAACAUGGGGGACACUCUGGACAGGGUGCCAAUCCAUCGCAGGGCACAAUUCCCACACACUACGGACAAUUUGGAAAUGCCAAUCAGCCUACAGCGCAUUUCUUUGGACUGGUGGAGGAAACUGGAGUACCCGGAGAGAACAACUGAAGCACAGGGAGAACACGCACAGAGGCAGGCCUGUGCUUAUGCUGGCUAAUUAAGCAGUACAGGAUGUCAGUGAUGCUGGGAGACUUCCCCCAUCGUAGCUGGGGAGCCACUCCUCUGAAGAGGAACAUGGCGUGAGCUGGCUUUUGUCAUCUCUCCAUCUCUGUAGGGGAAGAUUCUAUUGAGAAGACAACCUCAAUAACAGCAAUCACAAUCACAUUCGCACUACACACUCUUCAACACAGACGGCCUGCGACGGUGUAAAUUAAGCUCAGAAUGGUGCACGAGUCAUUGUUUUGGAAGGUGGCAGGCAGUGUCCUACACACUUAAGCCACACAAGACCAGAAAUGCAGGAAUGACCCAUCACAAAACACUGACUAAGUGAGAGUACAAAAAACAAAAACAAAAAACAAAGCAGGUUUGGCACUCUAUUGUCGGUGUGAUUAAAAGCAACGAUGGAAUAUUUUAACAUUAAAAAGAAAUCAGAAGAGCAGUGAUGGUGAAUAAUACGUGCUCAGUGUGAGGUAGGACCACUCUUGCAAAGUAACACCCAUUAAAAGCUCAUUUGCACCGUGAGGCAGUUCAUUAAUGCAGGGAAUAGUGAAAUCACACCAAUAGAGCACAGCGUAACCCCAGGGCACUGGCAGGAGCCGGGGUUCACCCUGCCAACAAACUCAACCCCACAGCUCAUUUACACUGGGGAUUACCACUGGCCAGGGUGUUUACUGUUUUAUUGUUUACUCAUAUGUGCAGAGAGAGUGCAGUGUAAGACAUCUGUCAUAAUUUUCGGCAUGGAUACGCCUCAUUUAUGUGUGUGCUCUGUCAAAUUCACU